rnacentral:lncRNA from 1 species
AUGACAGUCUUCCCUAGGAAAAGUACCACCCUACACCGCAACACUGGAUCAGCAGGAAUAGUCUCUCCCAGACCUAUACUGUACUCUGCCUCUGUCACUAUGUAUAACUUUCCCACUUCCCUUCUGUUUCCCUCAACUCAAGUUCUCAUCUCCUGCAAGGGCUCUCCCUGUUACCUUUCCAGCACUGCCAUUCUAUCUAACCUGCAUCCCGACCUUACAAGAACCGUAGCAGUUCGCCCCCCUGCAGGAGAAAGCGCUGGUGUCUUUAUUCUGUCCCCUGUCACCUCAGGAGAAAAAGAAAACUGCUGCCCUGCCGUUUUCUCUCGGAGAAGGCCAUUUUCAAACACCCAACGGCCGCUCCUCGGGGCAGAGAGCAAAACCGGCGCUAACCCUAAAGGGUCCCCCCCCCUUCGCCAGGGCAAAACAUCCCCCGGGGGGGUCUUCCCGAGCCCCCCUCCUCUGGCGAGGCGCUUCCCUCUUCCCUCUUUUGUCACCGCGCCCUGCCUUCUCCCUCCAUCCUUCCCAUCCGCCAGCGCUUCGUUUCGUUUCGGAGGAGGAGGAGGAGGCGCUACGGCUCAAGUCCGUCCCUCUGGCCUGAGGAGCCGAAUCCGGGAUGUACGGGGGGACCACCUCGACGUAUUCGAUGGUGGCAAUGGGGCUGCGGAUGCACCCCGGAGACCGCCCGAGGCCCUGCGGUGCUUUCCCACGGACAGACCCUCUUGUUUCACGUGUUCGGGAGCCCAAAGCGCCGCCAGGACUCAACCACCCAGCCAGCCCUGCCUGCUAGACACCGAACUCUCCUCCUCCUCCUCGCCGCCGCCUCCACACAAGCUCUUGGGUCCCCCUUCCGUCGCCCCUUUCCUUCCUUCCCUCCCUCUCUCCCUGCCUCCCAGACGCAGGCCAUCCGCUCGCCUCAAGCCCCUCUCCCUCCCUCCAUCCUCCCCCCGUGCCCUCGCUGAAAAUAGAAACAGGGAAAAGUCAGACACACUUUCAAAUCUCCUUUGCCUCACUAUCCACCCCUCUAAAACUUAUAUUCAUGGCAUCAAAUAUUUACAAAAUGCCUGCCCCCCCCACCUCGCUCGUCCACUUUACCUCCCGCCGCCGCCGCCAAGCACCGGGAAACCGAGCCCCGCCCACCAGCGAACGAGAGACCCAGAGAAGCCGCGAAGGUUGCCACGAGCCCCGCAACCAACCGGGCAGGGGAGUCUUCUUCUUCAGCCAAUGGAAAAGAUCUCUGGCUCGGCCAAUAGGAGCAACGAAGCACCGAGUUCCCGCCUACCCAUUCCGUCACUCUGUCUCUCUCUUUCCCCCUCCCCAUAG